rnacentral:sRNA from 1 species
AGGUUUCCGUAGGUGAACCUGCGGAAGGAUCAUUGUCGUUACCGGAGAGGAAGAAUGCGAACUUGUCAAGGUGCGCUUUUGGUAGCGGGAUAAGCAACAGUCGUCUGAUGCACUCUCUCGCUCUUCAAGGCAUCCCUUGCCGCCCCUGACCCGUGUCAAGCAUGGAUUGGUGGUGGGAACAAGAACCCGGCGCGGUCUGCGCCAAGGAACAGUUUUCUUGGAGAGCAUUUCAAGCCACAAUGCCUAUCUUUGUGGAGUGUGUGAUGCAAUCCUUGUUAGUGCGAGAACCUGCAUGACUCUCGGCAACGGAUAUCUUGGCUCUCGCAUCGAUGAAGAACGUAGCAAAAUGCGAUACUUGGUGUGAAUUGCAGAAUCCCGUGAAUCAUCGAGUUUUUGAACGCAAGUUGCGCCCGAGGCCGUCUGGUCAAGGGCACGCCUGCCUGGGCGUCACGCCUACCGUCACUCCAUGCACUUGGUCUACCUGCUCGAGGUGGAUGACUUGGAUGGAUGUGUAUAUUGGCCCUUUGUGCUUUUUGCGGCAUGAUGGGUUAAAGUGUCGGCUUUGCUGCAGGUUUUGAUCGCGGCGAGUGGUGGACGGAGUUUCAUGCACGACGCCUUUUGCCGCGGACAAUAGUAACCGGCCUAUGUGGAGCAUGAAAGGAACCUAAGAAGAAGGCGCGUUAUUGCGUCCUCGGACCAUGACCCCAGGUCAGGCGGGAACACCCGCUGAGC